UAUUCAAGGCCAAAUUUGACGUGUUAAAGCACACUUUGACAUCUAAGUUUGUUCGUUAUAAACUUCACGUGAAGAAAAAGAAAAUUGUUCUAUUUUUUCAUUUAUUUGGCGUGAAUUCAGUGUCACCAACCUGUGUCCAUUUGGCGGGAAGUGGAAGUAGAGCUUUUUGUUUAUUAUUAUUUGUUGAGGUUGAGUCUUUCAUGUUCAUGACAACCUAAAAAUUUUGAUUGGAAAAUGCAUAUAAGAUAAGGGGGUGGGAAAAUGGAAAUUAGUGGCUUUUUUUGCAGUUCUGUCUGUUAGUUUUGCGUUUUGCUCUGGCUGGGUCUCUUUUGUUUAAACAAUUAUAAUCAGCUGAAAGUGGUCUACAAAAAAACCAGGAAGGAAACGUAUUAUAGCCUUGUUGUGGCUAUGAAAGGCAAAAGAAAGAUACCUAUAAAAAGUGUAUUGACUAGUUGGAAGAAACUCCACAUUGUCAAUGCAUAAUAAGAUAUUACUUUAUAAACAAAUCUCAAGACCUAGGAAUGGAACCUGGAUAAUAUAGUCAUCAAGAAGAUAGCAGGAAGUCAUGAGCAACAACAACUUCAUAAGUAUGAGAAUAUUGAGGAAAUCCACACUCCUCGAUAUCUACUACUGGACAAACUAGAAGAUUGAAGAGGACAAAGCCUUUUGAACUAGUUUGAGUGAUAGGUGAUAGUGAAAAGCAGAGCGUAGUGCUUGUGUGCUUGUGUAUGUUAGAAUAGUGCACGAUCUUGUUAGAUUAGAUAAGAGACGCUAUGGGGUAAGCUCUUCAUUUUAAGGAACAGUAGUAAUUUAGGUUAAAUUAAAUUUGCUCAUUGGUCAGUUAUGACCAGAUUGUAAUUCUCUGAUGUUUGGCAAAAAGGGCUUAAGUCAGAAUUGCACAUCAAUAAUGUUUUGAUGAUUUCUGGACCAUACAAAAAGUGUUGCAGACUUACACUGUAUGUACCAAUAAAAAGAGCCGAUUUUUCUGGUCCAGAAAUCAUCAAAACAUUAUCGAUGUGCAAUUCUGACUUAAGCCCUUUUUCCCAAACAUCAGAGAAUUGCAAUGUACAAUUCAAUACAAAUGAAUCAUCAUCCUAGUGAUGAUUAUGGAAAAAAAUAUAUGACAAGAUUUUGUGCAAUAAAAAUGUUUAUAUUUAUCAAGGAUGUAUUAUUUGGUAUGGCCACAUAUACUUCUGGUAUAUCGUCGGUGAUGUGACGAUACCUCCUAUCUGCUUUUUCAUGAAUUUUGUAGGAGACGAAAAACCAUUUUUAGGGUCAUCUCUGUUUUCACAUGUAAAUUUUGACAUGUUUUGUGGUAAAUAGAUGAUUGAAUUUACUACAAAACAUGUCAAAAAAUAUCAUAUGAAAACAGGAGGUGACUGUAAAAAAAGUUUUUAGUCUCUCUUACAAAACGGUGAACAGAGGUGACAGUUAAUAGAGAGACAGAUAAUCGAGGUUCUACUGUAUAGUGAAAUUUGGACACCCGACACCCCAUACAAAUUUUAUGGGGGUUUUGUUCGUUUAAACCCCCCCAAACUUUUGUGUAAGUUACAAUUGAAUUAUUAUUGUGGUACUAUUAAACACAAUGUUUUUAAAACUUUUUUGCCUCUUAGUACUUUUUUGAAGUCAGUUUUUAUCGUGAUAUUUUGAAUAUUUGUCCAAUCCACCACAUAUUUGUAUAUGGUUAAGUACGAUUGUAGAGACUAAUAAUAUGAAAAUUUAUUUAUGAUUUACAUUUUUAGGUAUAUUUUGAACCAUUUUAAAAAGAAGCCAUAUCUUGAUAAAAAGAGCUUUAUCGAAAAAAUAGAAA